rnacentral:tRNA from 1 species
UAAGAGAUAGGUAAAUAGGAAUACCCCAAAAUUUUGAAUUUUGAAUUAGGAGUUCAAGGCUCCUUCCCUUAA